UUAAAAUCUCAGAUUUGAGUAUUUGUGUUGCGAAAUGCUAGCAAUGUCUGUGAAGACUGUCAGCUGUGACCUCUUCCCAGGAAUUAUGCAACCAAUGUGACACUGGUUGCAUGAGGUCAUCUGUUUUUGUUCUUUUUUUUUUCAUUGUUCUGUUAUUUUGUUUUUGCAGAAUAGCAAAAAAAUACAAAAUAAUAGCAGUAUCAAGAGCCAUGACCUCAUUAAUACAUUCACCAAAUGUGCUGUUGGGAAGAAAAAAAACCUACUCUUAACCAGCCUGAUUUGACUAGUUUGCUAACUGUUUCUGGGUUUUGAGUUUAUUCAGAACAAAAAGUUUUAACACCUCGGCUGGUGUGAAACACCAUUAUUACUGUACCUUCCGAUAAGCGCAACUUCUGAGCAUCUCGAUAGAGGGCAGGACUAUCAGGUCACAUUUGCAUGUGUAAGCAAGCGCUCAUCCACUCCAAACACAAACAAUGAGGAAGUCGUCGGAGAAACAGAACGCCACAGCAAAAAAAAAAAAAAAAAAACAUUUAAAACCGGUCAUUUGUCACGCUGUUUCGACCAGAGCCUAGUAUCGCUUUCAACAGUGACUCUGCUCAAUGCUGCCGGACCGGUCAGGUGUCAGACAUGGGGCUCUGCACUUUAACACAUCAAAUCGAUGCCUUAAACAUCCUAAAUGACCUGCGAGCUCACGCGACGACCAGCAAUAGAGAUGGCGAGGGUCAGUGUCCAGGUGAUCUGAUGAAGCAGCCCCGCAGAUUGAAGACUAUCGCGGAGAGAGCGAGAGAGAGCUGCCUCGCGCGUCUGCUUGAGAUACUCACGCAGCUCAUAUCUAUAGAGGAAGAUUUCAUAAAAGACGUCUCUUACGGAAGGAGUUUGCUCAAGCAUAAGUGUUGACUUGAAGAACAUAUGCUUGAGAAUGGCUAUUGCAGAAGGCGGUUCCCGCUCGGACAGAGACUUGAGGGAACUUCGGGACUGUCUUCGGCUUAUUGUGGGUAACCUACUCGCAUAUGUGCGAGAGUUAAACAACCUCUCAUCCACCGAGACCACUCACAGACUGAGGGAGCUUUUUAACUCCUUCCCAGAAAUCUGAAGAUCAGUAUCACUUUGUGUAUUCUAAGGAACUACCUCAGGAGCAGAUAUGGAUUGAGACACUACAUUUUUUUUUUUCCCUCAUGAAAUAAACAAGUCAUGAGCUAUGCGUGAAUCAUCUGUAAUUUUUGAUAAGUAUGAUGAUGCUUCGGAUUCUGAUUGAAGGUGUUGAGUGUUUUGCCAUGAAAGCUGCCUAUAGAGUUGCCUUCAUAUGUAUUGUUUUGCCUGAGUCAGUACUAAAGCCUAAGAACUACAUUCUCUCGACACAUACCAGUAUCAUGCAUCUGUGCUCAGCUGACUGUACGGGUAAAACAAGUCUAACAGCUGAUGGUGAUGGAUCCACUCUCAGCUCAGCGGGUGGGAUGGCCACCACACCUCAGGAUGAGCUGGUGUGGCCGCCUUUGUCACCUGCUAAAAAGAAAGAGUUAAGGAGUGAAUUGGGCGGGGGAGGAGGCUGUGUGAAAAUAUGCAUUUGUUUAUGUGUAUUCCAAUGUUAUGACAUUGCAGUGUAACUAUGUUCCAAAUGGAAUCAUUUUGGAAUCAAGGUCUGUUUUGGAAUCAACAAACAAAAUUAAUCCUGAAUAACUGAUUAUGAAUUUAAGUUAUGACUCUUUUAUUGUUGGUUUGAGCAUUGUGAAAUUAAUGUACACUUUUUGCUGUGUUUGCGAAUGAUACUGUAGCAUUUGUAGAAUCCUCUCUUGUCACUAGAUGGUGCACAAAACCAGCUUUUUACUAAUAUAAACAUCUUGUGCUCCACUCUCUGAAGAUAAUUCAAGUGUGUUUCGGGGUCUAAUGUGAAUGAACAGUGAUGCUCUGGCCCCAAAACUACUGGAGAAUUAUGCCAAAUGUAUAAAUGAUUGUAUGUGAACACAUUAAAAUAACAAAAUAUCAAGUUAAGUGGUGUUUAUUUUAAAGACAGAGAAAAAGCAAAAUGUUUCACAAAAAGAAAGCUGUUAGGUUUAAAUAUAAGACUAUAAGUUUUGGAUGCUUUGUGGUCUAGAACAUUUAAAAAAAGAACUCAAAUUAUAAGCAAACAUUUAUAAGCAUUCUCAUAUUACUUGUAAUAGAAUAACUAUUUUGUUAUGUAACGUACAUUUAGAAAGGACAAGCUGGUAAAACCUGUAAAAAUCUAGGACA
ensembl:lncRNA